rnacentral:rRNA from 1 species
GACGGAGGGGGCAAGCGUUGUUCGGAAUUAUUGGGCGUAAAGGGCUCGUAGGCGGACGGGUAAGUCUGGCGUGAAAUCUCCACCACUCAACGGGGAGAGGUCGCUGGAUACUGCUCGUCUGGAGUUCGGCAGAGGAUCGUGGAAUUCCAGGUGUAGCGGUGGAAUGCGUAGAUAUCGUAAGGAAGACCAGUGGCGAAGGCGGGUCUCUGGACAGUUCCUGACGCUGAGGCACGAAGGCCAGGGGAGCGAACAGG